rnacentral:rRNA from 1 species
AUUGAACGCUGGCGGCAUGCUUAACACAUGCCAGUCGAACGGUAACAGGCCUUCGGGUGCUGACGAGUGGCGGACGGGCGGGUAAUGCAUCGGAACGUGCCCAGAGGUGGGGGAUAACGCAGCGACAGCUGUGCUAAUACCACAUGUGAUCUGAGCAUCAGAGCAGGGGACCAGGCAGCAAUGUUUGGCCUCGCGCCGUUGGAGCGGCCGAUGUCCGAUUAGUUAGUUGGUGGGGUAAAGGCCUACGAAGCCGACGAUCUGUAGCUGGUCUGAGAGGACGACCAGCCACACUGGGACUGAGACACGGCCCAGACUCCUACGGGAGGCAGCAGUGGGGAAUUUUGGACAAUGGGCGCAAGCCUUAUCCAGCAAGGCGGCGUGCGGGACGAAGGCCUUCGGGUUGUAAACCGCUUUUGUACGGAACGAAAAGGCUCUGGCUAAUACCUGGGGCUGAUGACGGUACCGUAAGAAUAAGCACCGGCUAACUACGUG